rnacentral:rRNA from 1 species
GAGGGGUGCUAUACUGCAGUCGAGCGACGGACGAGAAGCUUGCUUCUCUGAUGUUAGCGGCGGACGGGUGAGUAACACGUGGAUAACCUACCUAUAAGACUGGGAUAACUUCGGGAAACCGGAGCUAAUACCGGAUAAUAUUUUGAACCGCAUGGUUCAAAAGUGAAAGACGGUCUUGCUGUCACUUAUAGAUGGAUCCGCGCUGCAUUAGCUAGUUGGUAAGGUAACGGCUUACCAAGGCAACGAUGCAUAGCCGACCUGAGAGGGUGAUCGGCCACACUGGAACUGAGACACGGUCCAGACUCCUACGGGAGGCAGCAGUAGGGAAUCUUCCGCAAUGGGCGAAAGCCUGACGGAGCAACGCCGCGUGAGUGAUGAAGGUCUUCGGAUCGUAAAACUCUGUUAUUAGGGAAGAACAUAUGUGUAAGUAACUGUGCACAUCUUGACGGUACCUAAUCAGAAAGCCACGGCUAACUACGUGCCAGCAGCCGCGGUAAUACGUAGGUGGCAAGCGUUAUCCGGAAUUAUUGGGCGUAAAGCGCGCGUAGGCGGUUUUUUAAGUCUGAUGUGAAAGCCCACGGCUCAACCGUGGAGGGUCAUUGGAAACUGGAAAACUUGAGUGCAGAAGAGGAAAGUGGAAUUCCAUGUGGUAGCGGUGAAAUGCGCAGAGAUAUGGAGGAACACCAGUGGCGAAGGCGACUUUCUGGUCUGUAACUGACGCUGAUGUGCCAAAGCGUGGGGAUCAAACAGGAUUAGAUACCCUGGUAGUCCACGCCGUAAACGAUGAGUGCUAAGUGUUAGGGGGUUUCCGCCCCUUAGUGCUGCAGCUAACGCAUUAAGCACUCCGCCUGGGGAGUACGACCGCAAGGUUGAAACUCAAAGGAAUUGACGGGGACCCGCACAAGCGGUGGAGCAUGUGGUUUAAUUCGAAGCAACGCGAAGAACCUUACCAAAUCUUGACAUCCUUUGACAACUCUAGAGAUAGAGCCUUCCCCUUCGGGGGACAAAGUGACAGGUGGUGCAUGGUUGUCGUCAGCUCGUGUCGUGAGAUGUUGGGUUAAGUCCCGCAACGAGCGCAACCCUUAAGCUUAGUUGCCAUCAUUAAGUUGGGCACUCUAAGUUGACUGCCGGUGACAAACCGGAGGAAGGUGGGGAUGACGUCAAAUCAUCAUGCCCCUUAUGAUUUGGGCUACACACGUGCUACAAUGGACAAUACAAAGGGCAGCGAAACCGCGAGGUCAAGCAAAUCCCAUAAAGUUGUUCUCAGUUCGGAUUGUAGUCUGCAACUCGACUACAUGAAGCUGGAAUCGCUAGUAAUCGUAGAUCAGCAUGCUACGGUGAAUACGUUCCCGGGUCUUGUACACACCGCCCGUCACACCACGAGAGUUUGUAACACCCGAAGCCGGUGGAGUAACCUUUUAGGAGCUAGCCGUCGAAGGUG